GACGAACGCUGGCGGCGUGCCUAAUACAUGCAAGUUGAGCGCUGAAGGUUGGUACUUGUACCGACUGGAUGAGCAGCGAACGGGUGAGUAACGCGUGGGGAAUCUGCCUUUGAGCGGGGGACAACAUUGGGAAACGAAUGCUAAUACCGCAUAAAAACUUUAAACACAAGUUUUAAGUUUGAAAGAUGCAAUUGCAUCACUCAAAGAUGAUCUCGCGUUGUAUUAGCUAGUUGGUGAGGUAAAAGCUCACCAAGGCGAGGAUACAUAGCCGACCUGAGAGGGUGAUCGGCCGCAUUGGGACUGAGACACGGCCCAAACGCCUACGGGAGGCAGCAGUAGUGAAUCUUCGGCAAGAGACGAAAGUCUGAGCGAGCAACGCCGCGUGAGUGAAGAAGGUUUUCGGAUCGUAAAACUCGGUUGGUAGAGAAGAACGUUGGUGAGAGCGGAAAGCUCAUCAAGUGACGGUAACUACCCAGAAAGGGACGGCUAACUACGUG
rnacentral:rRNA from 1 species